rnacentral:lncRNA from 1 species
CUCGUUUCCCCCGGGACAGGAGCAGCGGUUCCCAGCUGGGACUGCAUUUCUUCCUCUGGGCCACGGGAGACACGAGAUGACCUCACAUUUCUUCCUCUGGGCCACAGGAGACAUGAGAUGACCUCACUGCGCAGCUCUGCACACAUGGAUCCAUGGAAGCCUUCAACUCAGUUUCCCUUCGGGGACCCAGCAGGCAACAUCUGUCCCCGCAAAGGGAGCGCAGACUGCGUGCUCAGCUGACUGGGAAGCAUUCUCGGUGCAGGUGGGUUCAGCUGGCACGCACCCAGCGUGUGCCUUCAGGCCCUGCGCUGUCAGAUGGGGUGGGCCGAGGGCUGAAAUACUGGCAGCAGAAUGUUCAGCUCUGCCCAGCAGGGAGAAGAGCUGCGAAGGCGAG